AUAUUGGACAAUGGGGGGAACCCUGAUCCAGCGACGCCGCGUGAGUGACGAAGUAUCUCGGUAUGUAAAGCUCUAUCGGCAGGGAAGAAGAAAUGACGGUACCUGAGUAAGAAGCCCCGUCUAACUACGUGACAGCAGCCGCGGUAAUACGUGGGGGGCAAGCGUUAUCCGGAAUUACUGGGUGCAAAGGGAGCGUAGACGGUGAUGUAAGUCUGGAGCGAAAGGCGGGGGCCCAACCCCCGGACUGCUCUGGAAACUAUGUGACUGGAGUGCAGGAGAGGUGAGCGGAAUUCCUAGUGUAGCGGUGAAAUGCGUAGAUAUUAGGAGGAACACCAGUGGCGAAGGCGGCUCACUGGACUGUAACUGACGUUGAGGCUCGAAAGCGUGGGGAGCAAACAGG
rnacentral:rRNA from 1 species